AGAAUCAACGCUGGCGGCGUGCCUAACACAUGCAAGUCGAACGAGAAAGUGGAGCAAUCCAUGAGUAAAGUGGCGCACGGGUGGGUAACACGUGACUAACCUACCCUUGAGUGGGGGGAUAACCUAGAGAAAUCUGGGCUAAUACCGCAUAAUACCUUCGGGUCAAAGGAGCAAUUCGCUUAAGGAGGGGGUCGCGGCCGAUUAGUUAGUUGGCGGGGGUAAUGGCCCACCAAGACUGUGAUCGGUA
rnacentral:rRNA from 1 species